CACGUAGGGGGCAAGCGUUGUCCGGAUUUAUUGGGCGUAAAGAGCUCGUAGGCGGCUCAGUUAAGUCGGGUGUGAAACCUCCAGGCUCAACCUGGAGACGCCACUCGAUACUGCUGUGGCUUGAGUCCGGUAGGGGAGCGUGGAAUUCCUGGUGUAGCGGUGAAAUGCGCAGAUAUCAGGAGGAACACCAGCGGCGAAGGCGGCGCUCUGGGCCGGAACUGACGCUGAGGAGCGAAAGCGUGGGUAGCAAACAGG
rnacentral:rRNA from 1 species